AGAUCGUAGCUGCUCUGUAAGNUUUCGGUUAAAUCUAUAUGCUCAACGUAUAGGCGCGAAAUACUGCAGUGCUAGGAAGUGGGAGAGGUAGACGGUACUUGAUAGGAAGGGGUAAAAUCCUUUGAUCUAUCGAUGACCACCUGUGGCGAAGGCGGUCUACCAGAACACGUUCGACGGUGAGGGAUGAAAGCUGGGGGAGCAAACCGGAUUAGAUACCCGGGUAGUCCCAGCUGUAAACGAUGCAGACUCGAUGAUGCAUUGGCAUAUAGCCAGUGCAGUGUCGCAGGGAAGCCGUUAAGUCUGCCGCCUGGGAAGUACGUACGCAAGUAUGAAACUUAAAGGAAUUGGCGGGGGAGCACCACAAGGGGUGAAGCCUGCGGUUCAAUUGGAGUCAACGCCAGAAAUCUUACCCGGAGAGACAGCAGAGUGAAGGUCAAGCUGAAGACUUUACCGGACAAGCUGAGAGGUGGUGCAUGGCCGUCGUCAGCUCGUGCCGUGAGAUGUCCUGUUAAGUCAGGUAACGAGCGAGAUCCCUACCACUAGUUGCUAUCAUUACUCUCAGGAGUAGUGGAGCGAAUUAGUGGGACCGCUGUAGUAAUAUGGAGGAAGGAAGGGGCCACGGCAGGUCAGUAUGCCCCGAAACUCUGGGGCCACACGCGGGCUGCAAUGGUAGUGACAAUGGGCGCCUAACUCGAAAGAGUGCGGCAAUCCUUAAACGCUACCACAGUUAUGANUGAGGGCUGUAACUCGCCCUCACGAAUAUGGNAUCCCUAGU
rnacentral:rRNA from 1 species